rnacentral:rRNA from 1 species
CCUACGGGAGGCAGCAGUGGGGAAUAUUGCACAAUGGGGGAAACCCUGAUGCAGCGACGCCGCGUGAGUGAAGAAGUAAUUCGUUAUGUAAAGCUCUAUCAGCAGGGAAGAAAAUGACGGUACCUGAGUAAGAAGCCCCGGCUAACUACGUGCCAGCAGCCGCGGUAAUACGUAGGGGGAAAGCGUUAUCCGGAUUUACGGGGUGGAAAGGGAGCGUAGCCGGCAGUGCAAGUCAUGAGUGAAAGGCGGGGGCUCAACCCCCGGACUGCUCUUGAAACUGUACGGCUGGAGUGCAGGAGAGGUAAGUGGAAUUCCUAGUGUAGCGGUGAAAUGCGUAGAUAUUAGGAGGAACACCAGUGGCGAAGGCGGCUUACUGGACUGUAACUGACGUUGAGGCUCGAAAGCGUGGGGAGCAAACAGGAUUAGAUACCCCUGUAGUC